UACGUAGGUCCCGAGCGUUGUCCGGAUUUAUUGGGCGUAAAGCGAGCGCAGGUGGUUUAUUAAGUCUGGUGUAAAAGGCAGUGGCUCAACCAUUGUAUGCAUUGGAAACUGGUAGACUUGAGUGCAGGAGAGGAGAGUGGAAUUCCAUGUGUAGCGGUGAAAUCCGUAGAUAUAUGGAAGAACACCAGUGGCGAAAGCGGCUCUCUGGUCUGUAACUGACGCUGAGGUUCGAAAGCGUGGGUAGCAAACAGG
rnacentral:rRNA from 1 species